CACAGAGACGCAGGAGGACAAAUCAGUGCUGUAGAAACAGAUAUAUCACCUUUCCUGUGCCUACAUUACCCAGAAUGCAACUCAGCCACAGAGUUGGGUGUGUUAUGUUAGUAGGUGCCUGCAGCAGAGAUGAGAGGGGGGAUUUUUUUACUUGUGAAACUUGUCGUCUUCAGACCCGACCACUCUGACUCACUCGACAUUUAAACUAAAAAACUGUGGGUAAAAAACUGAGCUCCUGUUUUCUACAUUCACAGAGGGAAUCGUUUAUUUAUUGUUUUGUGUUGUCAUUGUGCUUUGACCUUCAGGGCCACCAUAGAAAUAUCUUAAAAUAUACAUUUUUGAUCUUUAACGUGAUGAUAACCAGUUAAACUAAUCAAACUGCUACUAAAACCAACUCAAAAGUCAAGGCUUCUUCUAGAGCCACAGCUUUUAACUGUUGCACAAGGGGAAAUGAGGAAACACCCACAUGUACACACACACACACACACACACACACACACACACACACACACACACACACAUAUAUAUGAGACACGUCUCUAUUGGUCUCUGAACCUCGACAUAAAGAGUCCAGAGUCCUUUUUUCCUCGAACUUCCUGACCUGCCCGUGGCCCUGAUUCACUGCAGAUCUCUAUAAUGGCAGGAAACAACAUGACACAGCUUCAGAGCAGGAGCUCCAUUAUACUCACACAAUAUGCUGUUACACUGAGAGACGAAGCUGAGGUCACUUCCUGUCGUAACGGCCGAGGUGACGCUGAGCGACCUAGUCUGCAGUGUGAAGCUGUGGUUACCAGGCCGUAGGCUGUGCUCCUCUCGUGCUCCUCUGUGAUGUCGGCGACGUAGGCGAAGAUCACCGAGAAGGUCACGGCGAAGAUCCCGGAGACGGAGAUCAGGGCGAAAUACCACCUGCACACAGACAGGAAACAACACACCAGGAACUGACGGAGCGUGACGGAGCGGAGAGUCUGACGAACAAACGCUAACAUCAGUUCAGUUCUGAGGAAACUUCAAGCAACAGUGACUGUCAUGACGAGCAGGAUUCAGAUUCAGACUGAGCCUCGCUCCUGUGGAGGAGGAAGUACUCUUUACUCAAGUAAAAGUAGUAGUACCUCAGAGAAAAAAAUACUGUAAGGUAUAAUAAGCAGGACCAUCAACCAGGUCACAUCACUGUCUCUGUCUCUCUCGUCGUGUAUUAUUAUUUUGGAGGAUUUAACGUUUACUUCAGGAGCUGGAUUUACUUCUUCUACCUUAACGUACAUCAGUUCCUACUGCAUCGACUCUUAACACAGAUAAUUAUCG